rnacentral:rRNA from 1 species
GGCAGUCGAACGGUGAACAGGAAGCAGCUUGCUGCUUCGCUGACGAGUGGCGGACGGGUGAGUAAUGUCUGGGAAACUGCCUGAUGGAGGGGGAUAACUACUGGAAACGGUGAGCUAAUACCGCAUAACGUCGCAAGACCAAAGAGGGGGACCUUAGGGCCUCUUGCCAUCGGAUGUGCCCAGAUGGGAUUAGCUAGUAGGUGGGGUAACGGCUCACCUAGGCGACGAUCCCUAGCUGGUCUGAGAGGAUGACCAGCCACACUGGAACUGAGACACGGUCCAGACUCCUACGGGAGGCAGCAGUGGGGAAUAUUGCACAAUGGGCGCAAGCCUGAUGCAGCCAUGCCGCGUGUAUGAAGAAGGCCUUCGGGUUGUAAAGUACUUUCAGCGGGGAGGAAGGGAGUAAAGUUAAUACCUUUGCUCAUUGACGUUACCCGCAGAAGAAGCACCGGCUAACUCCGUGCCAGCAGCCGCGGUAAUACGGAGGGUGCAAGCGUUAAUCGGAAUUACUGGGCGUAAAGCGCACGCAGGCGGUUUGUUAAGUCAGAUGUGAAAUCCCCGGGCUCAACCUGGGAACUGCAUCUGAUACUGGCAAGCUUGAGUCUCGUAGAGGGGGGUAGAAUUCCAGGUGUAGCGGUGAAAUGCGUAGAGAUCUGGAGGAAUACCGGUGGCGAAGGCGGCCCCCUGGACGAAGACUGACGCUCAGGUGCGAAAGCGUGGGGAGCAAACAGGAUUAGA